GUGGGGAAUAUUGCGCAAUGGGGGAAACCCUGACGCAGCGACGCCGUGUGAGGGAAGAAGGCUUUCGGGUCGUAAACCUCUGUCAGAAAGGAAGAACCUCCCAAGUCCGAAUAGGGCUUGGGACUGACGGUACUUUCAAAGGAAGCACCGGCUAACUCCGUGCCAGCAGCCGCGGUAAUACGGAGGGUGCAAGCGUUAAUCGGAAUCACUGGGCGUAAAGCGCGCGUAGGCCGCUUUGUAAGUCGGACGUGAAAGCCCUCGGCUCAACCGGGGAACUGCGUUGGAUACUGCGAGGCUUGAGUCCUGGAGAGGGUGGCGGAAUUCCGGGUGUAGGAGUGAAAUCCGUAGAUAUCCGGAGGAACACCGGUGGCGAAGGCGGCCACCUGGACAGGUACUGACGCUGAGGCGCGAAAGCGUGGGGAGCAAACAGGAUUAGAAACCCGGGUAGUCC
rnacentral:rRNA from 1 species